AAAAGCCUUUGUUGUCAGGCGGGUGAACAUCGUGCGUCGCGAACGCCGACCCAAGUGCUCACCCGAGUUCGCCGUCCUUCUCCUCCGACCCUCCUCUCGUUUCUCUCAUUAAAGCCCGCUCUCGCUCAGACACGAGACUCGAGAGGACGGAGAAGACAGACGGACGCGUAGUGGUCGAACAGAAACAUCCCCCCAGACGCGGAGCAUUCCCCUUUCCUCUCCCUUCCGCCUUCUGACCGCGGACUAGUGAGUUGCUUGGACGGACAAAGUUGAAGGGCUGUGAUAAAAUUCCCAGAGCAAGAGAUGGUUUCCCAGAGCAAGAGAUGGUUUUCCUAAACUUUAUCGGGUGUAUUUUGCAUUUCUGGAUUACCUGACUCAAUCUGGUAGUUCCAGUUAUUGUAAUUUAAGAUGCCAUCUGUGGUUUCCUUUUGUCAUUGAACAUUAUUAAGUUGUCCUUACCGUUGGUGCAUCAUGCACAUUCGUUUGUUUGUUUGGUUUUUCCUCCUUCAACGUUGUGCCAGUAAUGGGAUUUAAAACAAUAUCAAACUGGGGAAAAGUCAUUUUAUUUAGAAUAUAGCAUCUUUUGUGAAGAAGAAACUCCAUCUUCUUCGAGGAAUAAUGCGUUUGCCUGAAACUCGUAGUGCUGUUAGAUGAGCCUUAGACAUUGGCGAAGACAAUGAGUGGAGCUACAACACGGAGCAAAAAUAAGAAACCAAGGCAUGGUGAUGUUAGUGACAACUCUUCUGCAAUAUUGAGGAAAAUACAUUUAACUGGUGAAGUGACAGAAGAUGACAUUGAUCAGCUGUACAUGAUCUGGAAACCUGUAUGUCAGGGAUGUCGUAUCAAUUUGAAAGACUCACCAAAUUGCUUUUGUGGACUUGUACCUCCUGUGAAUGGACAUAGAAAAUCGGGUUUAUGGCAGAAAACUUCUGAAAUAGUUACUAUACUUGGUCCAGAUCCAGCAGAUGAAUUUCGUUGUCCGAACGAUUCACCUGCGGGUUUGACAAAUUUAGGUGCUACCUGCUAUGCAAAUAGCAUACUUCAGUGCCUCUAUAUGAACACAACCUUCAGAAAUGGACUUUUCUCUUUGGAGCCAGAUAUUUUAAAGCAAUAUCCUGUCUUGGACCAGCUUUCUCGCUUAUUUUCCCAAUUGUUUUUCAGAAACAAGGCUUUCAUAGAUUCAGCUCCAUUCAUUAAGACAUUGGAUCUUGACAACGAGGUGCAGCAAGAUAGUCACGAGUUCCUUACCUUACUGCUUUCCCUAUUGGAACGGUGUCUUCUUUCCUCAAAUAUUCCAAAAGCUCGAACUCUGGUACAGGAUUUGUUUCGUGGCAGUUUAUCUCAUGUUACAUGCUGUUCCACAUGUGGGAAGGAUUCGGCAGCUUCAUCAAAGAUCGAAGACUUUUAUGAACUUGAGUUAAAUAUUAAAGAUUUCAAAAAUUUAAAUGAGAGCUUGGAUGAUUAUCUGAGUACAGAAGAAUUAAGUGGUGAAAAUCAGUAUUUUUGUGAGUCAUGUGGAUGCCGAGUUGAUGCUACUCGCUGCAUCAAGUUACAGACACUUCCAGUUGUUCUAAAUUUCCAGCUUAAGCGCUAUGUAUUUCUUCCGAAGACGACAACAAAGAAGAAGGUUGUGUCAAACUUUAGCUUUCCAAAACUGUUGGAGAUGGGACAACGGUUAUGUUCUAGUCAAGCAGAUGUUCUGAUGUAUGAUCUUUCUGCUAUUCUUAUUCACAAGGGAACAGCUGUUAACAGUGGCCAUUAUGUGGCACAUAUCAAAGAUGAGUUAAGUGGUUUAUGGUGGAAAUUCGAUGAUGAACAUGUUUCAAUGUUAGGAAUUCAUCCUUUUGGAGAAGGAUCCUCAAGCUCUUGUGCUGGAGCAGAUUCAGAUGGCAAUGGGCCUUCAGGAGAUGCCUCUCAAAUUCUCCCACCUGAUAGCUCCACGGCUGAUAACCUAGAAGCAUAUUCAUCACCAGAUGCAUACAUGUUGAUGUACCAUAGAAGAAAUGCUUCUGAUAACUUGGGGUGGCACUUGAAAGGGGAAUUGAAUGGUGGAGUAUACAAGGAGCUUCUUCCAACGUAUCUUUUUGAGGAAAUUAAUAAACUAAAUCAGUUGCAUGAAAAUGCUUGCAAGGAUUAUCAAUUGAAGAAGCAGACUCACCUGAUGGAAGUGAAAGAACGUCAAAAUGAAGUGAGGACUAUUCUUUCCCUGGCACCUGUCAAUUCUACUAAGGAUCUGUACUUCUGGAUUUCAACUGAUUGGCUUCGACAGUGGGCUGAAAGUUUGAAACCUACUCAAAUAAACAACAUUAUGCUUCAAUGCUCCCAUCAAAGAGUACCCCUCUCAAAACUUGGAGUGAUGAAGCGGAUCUCAGAUCGGGCCUGGGAAAAACUAUUCUUAAAGUAUGGAGGAGGUCCGACAUUGACUGGUAGUGACUGCUGCAUUGAUUGCCUCAAAGAACUGGCAAAGACUGUGGUUUCAACAGAGGGUUACAAGGAACAAAGAGCAGGAAUGCAGAAGUUAGCAGCGGAAGCACUAAAUGGUCAAUUUGUUGAAGGGGAUCUAUUUUUUGUAUCUCGGAACUGGUUGGUACAGUGGCUGCGAAGAAAAAAUGCAGAUACCCCUUGUGCUGCUGAUGCUGAUCCUACAGCGCAACUUGUAUGUCCCCAUGGGAGACUGUUGCCUGAGCAAGUUCCUGGAGCAAAGCGUGUCUUAGUUCCUGAGUGUCUUUGGCUUUUCAUCCUUGAAAAUGCGCAGAGGGUGAAAGCUGAUGACACUUCAGGAUAUGUUGCCUUUUCUCUCGGUUCAGAAAUCUGUGCUGUGUGCAGUUUGAAGCAGAGCGAAGUGGCGCUCUCUGAAAACCAGCUUAGGGAGGCCAAAAUGAAGCAGCGGCAAAAUCAUGAACAGUUAUACCUGGGAAAAGGUGUUACAGUUUCUCCUGGCUGCAAAUAUUACAUGCUUCCUUCUUCAUGGCUGAGCAAAUGGAGAUCCUACCUGGCAGUAAGUGGAAAGACCGCUUCAUCUUCUCCAGAACCUGGCAGCUUGGAGAUCAUCAUGGAUUCACUCAAGUGCCAAAAGCACUCGCGAUUGCUCCUGAGGCCUUUUGAUCUGAUUCAAAGACGGGGUGAGCUAGUCCAGAAGAUCUCAAGUACAGAUGGUUUGGUGGCGAUUGCCGAAAGUGAUUGGCGUCUGCUGUGUGAAGAGUGGCUAGUUCCAGAAGAUAGAGGUAUCAUUGCGGAGGUGGAUUUGGUUGUUGGCUCUAGUCAGACGAAUGCAUUUGGUGUGCAGAUGGAUGCUUCAAACGAGCAACCCAGUUCUGAAGUUGAACCACUAAAACCCAUUAUUAGGACAGUACCUGAGGUAUGUGAAGAUUGUAUUGGUGAAAGAGAAAGCUGUGAGUUGAUGCAGAAGCUUAAUUAUUGCAACGAGGACAUCUGUGUUCAUUUUGUUCGUGGCAAAGAACCUCCAAAAUCAAUUUUGGCAGCAUCAGGUGCCAUCUUUGAACGUGAUCGACGUACCUCGAAACGCUCUCGGAGGGCCUCAAAUGGUGGGUCAAUGAAUUUUAAAGUCUCGGGAUUCACAUCCAUCUACCAGUUGAAAUUGAUGAUAUGGGAGUCUUUUGGGAUUGUGAAGGAGAACCAGAAAUUACAUAAAGGUUCAGUUGAAAUUGAAGAUGAUUCUGCCACGUUGGCUGAUAUGAACAUACUGCCUGGAGAUGUUCUUUGGGUUACUGACACAGAAGUAUAUGAGAAUCGUGAUAUUGCAGAUGAACUUUUGGGAAGCAAGAUGGAAUUUGAGCAGGCAGAGGAAGGGUUUAAAGGAACUCUUUUGGCAUCAAAUGGCUCGGUUAAGUUAUUGGCACAGGAUAUCGCGUAAGACUUUUGGAAGAUGAGAAAACUAGGACUCCGUUCAUGUAAAGCAACAGAUACCUCCUGCCUCGCUGUUAAUGAGCCGUAGCCAUUGAUGUUUUUCACUAUAGGGAAGGGGGAAGGCCGAAGGCUGCUAUGAUGUAUUUUUGUUGGAAUUUAUGUUGGGAUGUCUCUCUUUUCUUUUCAUCUUAAUGAACUUUAGGAAAGUUAGGUAUGUGAUCAUGAAACUCAGGCAUGUGGGAAAUAUGAAAUGGAGAGAGGGAGAGAAACAGGUAAAAUUCAUGAGAGGUUUAGCUUUAUUUAUAGGUCCUUCUGGUACAACAUGGUUGUGCGUGUUUUGUCAAUGGUUGAGACCUCAAAUAUAUUAUAGUUUACCGUGUUCAGAGUAGUCCAUAGCGUUUGUUGCUUUCAGUUGUUGAUAGCCCUUAUGCAGGAGUUUUCCUGAGUUAUUGAUGGCCCUUAGAUCAGUCUCAUCAGGAAUUUGGGGUUCUUCCAAGUUAGUUUGAGCUGUCUCUAUUUACUUAGCAUCUCAACAAAAUUUAGGAAGCUUAGGGGUGAGAGAUAGAGAGAGAAAGAGAGAUGUUUUUUAUAAAAUUUAGAGCUGGUUCAGUUUCUUUGUUCGUAGUUCAUCUCUCUGGUAGAAAUUAGUUGUUCAUGAUUGGUCAGUGGUGAGGCAUCAGAACUCUUUAUAAUUUACAGGGAACUUUUGAUGGUAUACUUCAAUUUCAGUUGUUGGAAGUCCUUGAUUAACCAUAUCAGCAAUUGAUUGUUCUUUUGAAUUUUUUUUCUAGUAAUGGCCAAUAGAUUUCCUAUUAGGCGGCAUUUGAUUAUUUGAUAUUUAAUAAAACCCAUGGUUUUGAUAUCGAUCUGAUGUGGGUUGAUGUGGCUUGUUUUUGCUGAUGUGGUAAAAGAUCUACAGUAAAAUUCAUGGUUCAUCAAACUAAAGAUCUUAGCUCAGACCGAAGAUCUACGUAUAAAAUCCUUAUGUUGUUUCUUUUGCAUUGAGAAUGAGGUUGGAUUUACUGUUGGAAGAGGGUCUUAUCAAAUCCUCGGUUCUCAAAUCCUUAAGGUUUUAGAUUAGGGGCAACCAAGCACCCUCUUCUUUCUUGGAACAGCUUGCGUAAGCCUGC